rnacentral:rRNA from 1 species
UACUUUAUUGAAACUUCGGUCGAUUUAAUUUAAUUCUAGUGGCGGACGGGUGAGUAACGCGUGGGUAACCUGCCUUGUACAGGGGGAUAACAGUCAGAAAUGACUGCUAAUACCGCAUAAGCGCACAGGACCGCAUGGUCCGGUGUGAAAAACUCCGGUGGUAUAAGAUGGACCCGCGUUGGAUUAGCUUGUUGGUGGGGUAACGGCCCACCAAGGCGACGAUCCAUAGCCGGCCUGAGAGGGUGAACGGCCACAUUGGGACUGAGACACGGCCCAGACUCCUACGGGAGGCAGCAGUGGGGAAUAUUGCACAAUGGGGGAAACCCUGAUGCAGCGACGCCGCGUGAAGGAAGAAGUAUCUCGGUAUGUAAACUUCUAUCAGCAGGGAAGAAAAUGACGGUACCUGACUAAGAAGCCCCGGCUAACUACGUGCCAGCAGCCGCGGUAAUACGUAGGGGGCAAGCGUUAUCCGGAUUUACUGGGUGUAAAGGGAGCGUAGACGGAUGGACAAGUCUGAUGUGAAAGGCUGGGGCUCAACCCCGGGACUGCAUUGGAAACUGCCCGUCUUGAGUGCCGGAGAGGUAAGCGGAAUUCCUAGUGUAGCGGUGAAAUGCGUAGAUAUUAGGAGGAACACCAGUGGCGAAGGCGGCUUACUGGACGGUAACUGACGUUGAGGCUCGAAAGCGUGGGGAGCAAACAGG